GCCGGAACCCCCAGCAGCAACCUGCUUGCGUCGCUUCCUGCACUUUGGCGGCUUUGUUCUUUAGCUCUUUGCAAUAAAUCUUGCUGCUGCUCACUCUUUGGGUCCACACUGCCUUUAUGAGCUGUAACACUCACCACGAAGGUCUGCAGCUUCACUUCUGAAGCCAGCGGGACCACGAACCCACUGGGAGGAACGAACAACUCUAGACGCACUGCCUGAAGAGCUGUAACACUCACCGUGAAGGUCCACAGCUUCACUCCUGAGCCAGUGAGACCAUGAACCCACCAGAGGGAAGAAACUCGGAACACAUCUGAACAGCAGAAGGAACAAACUCCGGACACGCCGCCUUUAAGAACUAUAACACUCACGGCGAGGGUGCGCGGUUUCAUUCUUGAAGUCAGUGAGACCAAGAACCCACCAAUUCUGGACACAUGGCCACUGAGCACUCCCUGCUCGGGGCUGCACCUCAGCAACAACAGAGGCUAUGAUACCGGGCUGGAGGGCGCUGAAACGUUAGGAACAAGCUCUGAAGUCUUGAUCCAAAACAGACAAGGCUUUAAUAUGAAAGCAUUUUUCUUUGAAGAAGUUCACCCUGAAGCCUUGGCCCAAUGAUCUCAGAAGAUGAGAGAGAAUGGCAAACCAAAAACUCUGAGUGAGUUUGAAAGUGGAUCUUCUGAAGCCUUCCAACAGUCAUGUGUGGAAUCUGGAAGUGCAUUUUUGAGGCUUUCCCAUAGCCAUCUGAGUGAGCUGGAACAAAUUCAAACGCAAUCUCAUGGUAGAGCCUACAGACCAAGUAUAUUAAAAGCCUUUUUAAACAAAACUUAAUCAUAAGAUACUUUUUCACAUAAGUUUCUUUAUGAAUUUAUAUGCUCAAUACCCUGAAACCAUUUUUUUAUAAUUGUGUUUGGGAAGAGAUACUAUAAAUAUUUCAUUUAUAACCCUUUAUACUAUACACAUAGAAUGAAUACUUUGUUAUAAAAUCAUGAGAAACAUAAAAAGACAUAAUGCAGAAAAUUAAAAGCCCA
rnacentral:lncRNA from 10 species